AUGGGAGAGGAGCCACCCGCGGGGCUCGGCCGGUUCUGGGCUCCCUCGGGCCUCGGCGUCUCUCGGCAGGGACGGGGAGCUCUUCCCAGGGAGGACGCGCUAGAGGCGAGCAGCCCGGGCAGGGGAGGGAGCGCGGGCAGCCCCCAAGGGAGGAGGAGCGCCCGCCCGCCCGCCCGCGACGCCACCCGAGAACUGCCGAAACACAAGAAAGGGGGGCUCGGCGAGCGGACGAGGGUGCCCUGGAGAGCCAACUCGAGCACGCUGGGUGCUGCGCAGGGUGGGCAGCGAGGCAGGGGGCUGCGGGGAGCCCCGUCUCAGAGCGUCCCAGCCUGUGCGGGAGGCUCGGCCACAGAGACGAAAUCUGCUCCGGCCGCCUCUGCCAGUUGGGGGCGGCAGUGCGGGCCGCGGCAGCCCUUCCCCUUCUCUCCUAGACAGCGCGGACCCACCUACCCCCAGGCCCGGCUCCGCCCUCCGCGGUCCUGCGCUCGCUCCGCCACCCCAGCGCCAUCCAGCCAGGACGGAUCUCGUUGGCCUGCUGAGCCCGUCCUAGACGGCCCUGCCAGAAGGGCCGGGAUGGGGGGGGGGGAGGGGCGCUCCGGGCUCCCCUGGGCAAGGCCGGCCCCGCUGGCUUCACUCACUGCACGCUUCAUUCCUCUAAAUCAGAAAGUUUUUAAUUUCUGCCUCAGAAAAAGGCUCCCACCAUUCCCUUCCCGCCUGCCUGCUGCUUUGUCCAGGGCCAGCCGCUUCCCAGGCGCUUCUCCCCGUGGAGCCCAGGAAGGUGCUCAGACGGCGACUCGGCCCUGCGGGGGUCGUGGGCUCAGUUUCUCCUCCAUAUCUUUGGGAGUCUCGGGUAGGUGGGGCCGUCCCCAGGGUGCUGCUGAGGAAGCCCGAGCUCGUGCUUCAGAUUCAGCAGCUUGGUGGAACUGCAGUCCUGCCCCGAGGAGUCGAAGUCGUCCAGGUAGUCCAAGGCCUGGUGCCAGCUGUCGGAGCUGGCGCCUGUGGGAGCCGCGGCGGCGCUCGGGGCCGUGCCGGGCUCGGAGCAGAGGUCCGCCUCAGAGCCGAGCUCUUGCAUCAAGCAGCAGCGACUCCCCGAGCUGGCAGCCUCCGGGUUCCUGUGAUGCUGGGAGAGCAGUUUGCCCAUCGCGUGCAGCCUCUCGGGAUGGACGGCAGGCCUGGGCCGGGAGGGCGGGAAUCCCCCAACCUUUAACCCCUGGGGGCUGGGAGGAGGCCGGGACUCUGGCCUGGGGCGCCCCGGUGCCGCCCAGUGAUGCCGCCCUGAGAUCACAAUGCAAGCUUUGUUCCCAAGCUGCUGCUGGCUUUGUGAGGUCCAGCUGGGAGAGGGGGUGGCCCGGUGGCUGGAGAGUCAGGCCUGGGUUCCAAUCCGACUCAGACCCUUCCCAGCUGGGUGACCCUGGACCAGUCACUUGACCCCCAUUCCCUUCCCACCCUUCUGUCUCGAAGCAGUGCUUGAGCUACAUUCACUCCCAUUACAAGCCAGGCAAGCCAAGAACAUCAACCACCUUCAAGACACACUCCACUGAAUUCUGUUUAUGGACAGAAACCAAGCAACACUGCCAGGUGCUUUAAAGUAACACAAGAAAAAAAGAACUUGUAAACUGAGGAAAAACCCCAAACUGGCCUGCUUUAACCUAGAUACAAAUAUGUUUUGUUGUUGUGAUUGAUAGUGAAAGCUGACCAAAAGCACAGCGAUCCUCUCAGCAGGUCAAGGGGUGCUAACCUACAAAUGGCUUUAUUCACAUUAAUCAUGUCUAUCACAGUGUUGUAGAAACCUAGUAAAUGAUCACGGAAUUCUUUGUUGUAGUAAUGUCGCAAGAGUGUUGUUUAGGCGAUUUGAUAAUAUCCAAAUUGUAGAAUGUCACAUACAUAUUAGAUUGAUUGACUGCAUAACAGUUAGCAUUCAUAACUAGGUUCUACCCUAUAUCAAGUCCAAGAUGAAUUGAAGUCACUCCAAUAAAAAACGGAAAAGGGGGAGACA
ensembl:lncRNA